AGCGUAGGCGGACUUUUAAGUGAGAUGUGAAAUACCCGGGCUCAACUUGGGUGCUGCAUUUCAAACUGGAAGUCUAGAGUGCAGGAGAGGAGAAUGGAAUUCCUAGUGUAGCGGUGAAAUGCGUAGAGAUUAGGAAGAACACCAGUGGCGAAGGCGAUUCUCUGGACUGUAACUGACGCUGAGGCUCGAAAGCGUGGGAGGCAAACA
rnacentral:rRNA from 1 species